CCCUAAUCCGCGGCCGAGACGCGCCCUAUUUAACCCCCACGCACUAGGGUUUCGCUCUCUUUCCCUUUGACACCGAACCAGAGCGGCGUCGCGGGCGGACUAGGAGGAGGCAGAGCAGCAGCAGCCGGGCCAACCCACCGCCGCCACCAUGGGUAUCUCGCGUGACUCGAUGCACAAGCGCCGGGCCACCGGUGGGAAGCAGAAGGCCUGGAGGAAGAAGCGAAAUACGAGCUCGGCCGCCAGCCAGCCAACACCAAGUUGUCAAGCAACAAGACGGUGAGGAGGGAAACAUACCUCAGCAGCAUCCUUCUUGGCAGCAGGUGCCUUCUUCCUACCGAUAUCCACUCCAUAGUGUGUUAGGUACCAUUGCUUGAAUGGGGCAGCAUCAACUUGCACAAUGGCGCUCUUCACAAGGGUAUGAGUCCUCACGAGCUCAUUGUUUGACGCGUUGUAGACCACAUCAAGGAUACGGGUCUUGCAGGUAACAGCCUCACUUCCCCAUGAGUAGUUACCAGUAUCCAGGCGGAGAGCCCUCCACUUCACAUUACCUCCUCUGACACGGACCCUCCUCACCGUCUUGUUGCUUGACAACUUGGGACAAGGUGAGGCUGCAGCUGAGGAAGCAAAGAAGAGCAACCACGUCCAGAGGAAGCUUGAGAAGCGUCAGCAGGGACGCACACUUGACCCCCACAUUGAAGAGCAAUUUGGCAGUGGAAGUCUGUUGGCGUGCAUUUCUUCCCGCCCUGGGCAGUGUGGCAGAGUUGACGGGUAUGGAAUAUCAGCAUUCUGUUUUUCUUUCUUAAAACUUUUAUCUGUCUGUUUAGG